rnacentral:rRNA from 1 species
UACGAGUGCUCCAAGCGUUAUCCGGAAUCAUUGGGCGUAAAGGGUGUGUAGGCGGUUGUGUUAGUCUUCUGUCAAAUUCUUCGGCUUAACCGGGGGCCUGCAGGGGAAACGGCACAACUAGAGGAUGCGAGAGGUAAAUGGAACUCAUGGAGUAGGGGUGAAAUCCGUUGAUAUCAUGGGGAACACCGAAUGCGAAGGCAAUUUACUGGCGCACUCCUGACGCUGAGACACGAAAGCGUAGGUAGCGAAUGGG